GUAUAAUGAUGAAAUCCAUGCGUGUCAACUGACUCCGUCAACCUCUGACGCCGAGCUGCUCUGGUUGGCGUUCUGCUAGCCGGCGCUGUCCCUGCGUCAGAAGAACGGAGACGUGAUCAGACUCCCAUGUUUCUGAUUAC
ensembl:snoRNA